rnacentral:rRNA from 1 species
UAUAAUGCAGUCGAGCGGACAGAAGGGAGCUUGCUCCCGGAUGUUAGCGGCGGACGGGUGAGUAACACGUGGGUAACCUGCCUGUAAGACUGGGAUAACUCCGGGAAACCGGAGCUAAUACCGGAUAGUUCCUUGAACCGCAUGGUUCAAGGAUGAAAGACGGUUUCGGCUGUCACUUACAGAUGGACCCGCGGCGCAUUAGCUAGUUGGUGAGGUAACGGCUCACCAAGGCGACGAUGCGUAGCCGACCUGAGAGGGUGAUCGGCCACACUGGGACUGAGACACGGCCCAGACUCCUACGGGAGGCAGCAGUAGGGAAUCUUCCGCAAUGGACGAAAGUCUGACGGAGCAACGCCGCGUGAGUGAUGAAGGUUUUCGGAUCGUAAAGCUCUGUUGUUAGGGAAGAACAAGUGCAAGAGUAACUGCUUGCACCUUGACGGUACCUAACCAGAAAGCCACGGCUAACUACGUGCCAGCAGCCGCGGUAAUACGUAGGUGGCAAGCGUUGUCCGGAAUUAUUGGGCGUAAAGGGCUCGCAGGCGGUUUCUUAAGUCUGAUGUGAAAGCCCCCGGCUCAACCGGGGAGGGUCAUUGGAAACUGGGAAACUUGAGUGCAGAAGAGGAGAGUGGAAUUCCACGUGUAGCGGUGAAAUGCGUAGAGAUGUGGAGGAACACCAGUGGCGAAGGCGACUCUCUGGUCUGUAACUGACGCUGAGGAGCGAAAGCGUGGGGAGCGAACAGGAUUAGAUACCCUGGUAGUCCACGCCGUAACGAUGAGUGCUAAGUGUUAGGGGGUUUCCGCCCCUUAGUGCUGCAGCUAACGCAUUAAGCACUCCGCCUGGGGAGUACGGUCGCAAGAC